rnacentral:rRNA from 1 species
CUACGUGCCAGCAGCCGCGGUAAUACGGAAGGUCCAGGCGUUAUCCGGAUUUAUUGGGUUUAAAGGGAGCGUAGGCGGAUUGUUAAGUCAGCGGUUAAAGGGUGUGGCUCAACCAUGCAUUGCCGUUGAAACUGGCGAUCUUGAGUGCAGACAGGGAUGCCGGAAUUCCUGGUGUAGCGGUGAAAUGCGUAGAUAUCAGGAAGAACACCGGAGGCGAAGGCGGCUUACUGGACAAUAACUGACGUUGAGGCUCGAAAGCGUGGGGAUCAAACAGGAUUAGAUACCCUGGUAGUCCACGCUGUAAACGAUGAAUACUAGGUGUCGGGGUGCAAAGCAUCUCGGUGCCGUCGCUAACGCAAUAAGUAUUCCACCUGGGGAGUACGUUCGCAAGAAUGAAACUCAAAGGAAUUGACGGGGACCCGCACAAGCGGUGGAGCAUGUGGUUUAAUUCGACGCAACGCGAGGAACCUUACCAGCGUUUGACAUC